GACGAACGCUGGCGGCGUGCUUAACACAUGCAAGUCGAACGGUGAAGCGCCUUCCUUUUUGGUGGGUGUGGAUGAGUGGCGAACGGGUGAGUAACACGUGAGUAACCUGCCCCCUUCUUCUGGAUAACCGCAUGAAAGUGUGGCUAAUACGGGAUAUUCUGGGUCUGUCGCAUGAUGGGUCUGGGAAAGAUAUUGUUUCGGUGGGGGAUGGGCUCGCGGCCUAUCAGCUUGUUGGUGGGGUGAUGGCCUACCAAGGCGGUGACGGGUAGCCGGCCUGAGAGGGUGGACGGUCACACUGGGACUGAGACACGGCCCAGACUCCUACGGGAGGCAGCAGUGGGGAAUAUUGCACAAUGGGCGCAAGCCUGAUGCAGCGACGCCGCGUGAGGGAUGGAGGCCUUCGGGUUGUGAACCUCUUCCGCCAGUGAAGCAGGCCUGCCUCGUUUGUGGGUGGGUUGACGGUAGCUGGAUAAGAAGCGCCGGCUAACUACGUG
rnacentral:rRNA from 1 species